GACGAACGCUGGCGGCGUGCUUAACACAUGCAAGUCGAACGGAAAGGCCCUGCUUUUGUGGGGUGCUCGAGUGGCGAACGGGUGAGUAACACGUGAGUAACCUGCCCUUGACUUUGGGAUAACUUCAGGAAACUGGGACUAAUACCGGAUCGGAGCUCCUGCUGCAUGGUGGGGGUUGGAAAGUUUCGGCGGUUGGGGAUGGACUCGCGGCUUAUCAGCUUGUUGGUGGGGUAGUGGCUUACCAAGGCUUUGACGGGUAGCCGACCUGAGAGGGUGACCGGGCACAUUGGGACUGAGAGACGGCCCAGACGCCAACGGGGGGCAGCAGUGGGGAGUAUUGCACAGUGAGCGGGAGCCUGAGACAGCAACGCCGCGUGCGUGAUGACGGCCUUCGGGUUGUAAACCGCUUUAGCCUGUGACGAAGCGUGAGUGACGGUAAUGGGAAAAGAAGCACCGGCUAACUACGUG
rnacentral:rRNA from 1 species